rnacentral:rRNA from 1 species
CUGCGAGUGAAGGGGACAGCCCAGCGCCGAAUCCUGCUGCUGGUAACGGUGGCAGGAACUGUGGCGUGAAGAAGGUGGUUACCGGUAUGGUUCGCUUGCGUAAGUCCUCCUGAGUGAGGCUCCAUCCCAUGGAGGGUGCAAGGCCCGUAUCGUGAGCAACUGAUGCCGGUGUACACUUUCGGAGAGUCGCCUUGUUUGCGAGUACAAGGUGAAGUCGGUGGUAAACUCCAUCGAAGGCUAAAUAUGACCACGAGUCCGAUAGCGAACAAGUACCGUGAGGGAAAAUUGAAAAGCACUUUGAAGAGAGAGCGAAACAGUGCGUGAAACCGCUCAGAGGCAAGCAGAUGGGGCCUCGAAGGCAUAGCAGUGAAUUCAGCUGGCGAGUGGGUGGCGAACCGGUGAUGAGAUCGCAAGACUCUAGCCGGUUAUGUGUUCUGCCUUGCUUGUCGGUGCACUUUCGCUGUUUGUACGCCACCGCCGUUGAGCGAGCAUCCGUCGGGUAUGCAUGUUGAAGCCUUACUCCUUUACGGGCGUAGGUGCUUACCGCUAACCUGUACGCGUUUGCGCCUCAACCGGUCAUGUCAACGGGUGCCAGCGUUUGCGUUGGAUCGGUGCGCUCUUCAGUGUAACGUGGGAUGACGAGCUUGCUCGGCUCCUCGUUGCGCAGUGGAAUCGUUUCCGGUUUUCAACGUGGGCACCUUGUAGAUUCGGUGGCGAGUAGAUGGCUGCCUAUCUAACCCGUCUUGAAACACGGACCAAGGAGUUCAACAUGCGCGCUAGUUGUUGGGACUUGAAGCCCGCUAGCAAAGUGAAAGCAAGACACAGUGUCACGCUGUGUAUUGGCGAGAUCCCGUAACCUGGCACGAAAGUUCCGGGCCGGGCGCNUCGCCGGCCCGUCAAAAGCUCACGUGGCUUUGGCGGAGCUUGAGCGUGCACGUUGAGACCCGAAAGAUGGUGAACUAUGCCUGGGNANGAUGAAGCCAGGGGAAACUCUGGNGGAGGUC